UUUUGUAACUGAACCAAGAACGACAAAGCUUUAUUUUCAAAAUUUAUAUUUUUUUUUACGAAAAUGUCUGUAACUACGAGAGGAUUGUUAUUUAUGAUGCGUAGUUUUAGUACAGCAGUUAAAGAUAUUCCUAAUCUUGUAAAGAAAAAUAAAGUAGUUGUGUUCAUGAAAGGAGUCCCAGAAGCACCGAAAUGUGGCUUCAGUAAUGCUGUUGUUCAAAUUUUUCGUAUGCAUGGGGUGAAAUAUGAUGCUUAUGAUGUACUAGCUGAUGAAGAACUUAGACAAGGUAUCAAAGAUUAUUCGAACUGGCCGACGAUACCACAAGUUUUUAUGAAUGGUGAGUUCGUAGGAGGAUGUGAUAUUUUACUUCAAAUGCAUCAAAACGGUGAUCUGAUAGAAGAGUUAAAAAAAGUUGGGAUAACGAGUGCCCUUCUGAAUAAAGAGACGGAUGGAGUUAAAAAUGAAUCAUCUUAAAAUACCAGAAGACAUACACAAUUAUCAAAAGCAAGAAGUAGUAUAUUAUUGUUGAUAAGGAAUAUCUGGAAGAUAAAAUUACAAGAAGGAUUGAAAAAUUAAAUUGAAGGAGUUAACGUUUCACGAAAAAUUAUUCAAGAGGAAAUUGUGAUCACUGAUUAUUUCUACACUGGUUUAAUGAAUGGAAUUAAUAAAAAUGCAUAUUGGAUUUAAUCGUACAAGAAAAGAUAUCGGAAAUGAUCAACCAGGUCUUUACAAGAUCGAAGGAUUCAUCGUAUCUUUGUGUAAAUAAAGAUAACUACAUCUGUUGCAAUAUACGUCGAAGAAUUUUUCCAGCUGGACUUUUAGGAAUUUUAUCGAUGAUAGCAACGUUGCCAAGAUUUUUAUAUUUAGCAACACGUUUUGCUACAAAUUCUUUCAACUCUUGUUCGUCGAUACGCAUAUUAGGUUUAGGAACGAUAAAGGCUUUGGGUAUUUCUCCGUAUCGUUCGUGUGGUACUCCAAUGACUGCUACGUCAGCAACUUUUUCAUGACCUAGAAUAACGUCUUCGAGUUCAGCAGGAGCUACCUGGUAGCCCUGAACCUUGAUCAGUUCUUUAAGUCGUCCUUUUAUGUACAGAAAACCUGAGUAAAGUUUUUUUAUUUUAAAUGAA